rfam:Thecamonas trahens ATCC 50062 unplaced genomic scaffold supercont1.57, whole genome shotgun sequence.
GUCAGUUUGGCCGAGCGGUUAAGGCGCUUGAUUCGAAAUCAAGUUCCCGAUGGGAGCAGAGGUUCGAAUCCUCUAGCUGACG